AAUGAACGUUGGCAGCGUGGAUUAGGCAUGCAAGUCGAGCGACAAGGUCCGCAAGGACUGGAGGAGCGGCAAACGGGGUAGUAAGGCAUUGGAACGUACCCUCUGGUCCGGGAUAGCCUCGAGAAAUUGAGAGUAAUACCGGAUGAACUCUUUGGAGCAAAGGUCCGCCGCCGGGGGAGCGGCCAAUGUGAUAUCAGCUAGUUGGUAGGGUAACGGCCUACCAAGGCAUAGACGUCUAGGGGGUGUGAGAGCACGACCCCCACCACUGGGACUGAGAUACUGCCCAGACACCUACGGGUGGCUGCAGUCGAGGAUCUUCGGCAAUGGGCGCAAGCCUGACCGAGCGACGCUGCGUGCGGGAUGAAGGCCUUUGGGUUGUAAACCGCUGUCAGAGGGGAUGAAAGCGAAAGCUUGACAGAGCCUCAG
rnacentral:rRNA from 1 species